UCUCAAGAAAAGAAUUUUAGUCCAACCUAAAGUAACAUUAAUUAUUAAACAUGACCUAUACUUUAGAGCAACUCAAAUAAGGUACAGCCUAUUUGACACAGGAUACAACCUUUAAUACCGGGUAACAAAUUUUCUACCACUAAGUAGGCUUAGAAGCAGCCACCUUUCAAAAAGCGUCAAAGCUUACAUCACAAUAAUUUACAAACCCCCAUGAACCCCUUUACCCCUAUUGAGAAGUUCUAUAAUCCUAUAGAACCUUUAAUGCUAAAACUAGUAACAAGAGGCCACCCCUCUCUAUGAUGUAAACUUAAGCCAGCAAGAACAUAUCACUGGCGUGUAACAGACCUAAACAAUAGUAAUAACUCUCCCCUAGAAAACACUACUUUAUCUACUGUUAACCUAACACAAGAACAUCCCAAGAAAGAUUAAAAGAGAAGGAAGGAAUUCGGCAAAUAUUAACCCCGCCUGUUUACCAAAAACAUCACCUCCUGUCCCCCCAUAAGAGGCCCAGCCUGCCCAGUGACUCUGUUCAACGGCCGCGGUAUCCUAACCGUGCAAAGGUAGCGUAAUCACUUGUCUUCUAAAUAAAGACUAGUAUGAAAGGCAUCACGAGGGUUAAACUGUCUCCCCCCUCUAAUCAGUGAACCUAAUCUCCCCGUGAAGAAGCGGGGAUAAUUACAUAAGACGAGAAGACCCUAUGGAGCUUUAAACAUUAUAACACGCGCCAAAACAUUCAACUACCCAGGUACCUCACCACAACGGCACUCUGAUUAUACGUUUUUGGUUGGGGUGACCGCGGAGAAUAGCUCAUCCUCCAUGAUGAAAGGGAUAAUCCCCUAAGCAAUAAAACACAACUUUAUGAAUCAAUAAAUUGACUUCCAUUGACCCAACACUUUGAUCAACGAACCAAGUUACCCUAGGGAUAACAGCGCAAUCCACUUUCAGAGCCCCUAUCGACAAGUGGGCUUACGACCUCGAUGUUGGAUCAGGGUAUCCCAGUGGUGCAGCCGCUACUAAAGGUUCGUUUGUUCAACGAUUAAAACCCCACGUGAUCUGAGUUCAGACCGGAGUAAUCCAGGUCAGUUUCUAUCUAUAAUAGAGCUCUUUUUAGUACGAAAGGACCAAAAUAGCAUGGCCAAUGUUAAAAUUAAGCCAUAGUUAGUUACUUUUGACCCACACUCAAAAAAUUACUUACCUCCCCAACUUCUUACAAGAAAAGAACAGUUAACGUAGCAUAACCAGGCUUUGCAAAAGACCUAAGCCCUUUUUAUAGAGGUCCAAAUCCUCUCGCUA
rnacentral:rRNA from 1 species